rnacentral:rRNA from 1 species
AGAGUUUGAUNUGGCUCAGGAUGAACGCUGGCGGCGUGCUUAACACAUGCAAGUCGAACGAUGAAGCUGGAGCUUGCUCCGGUGGAUUAGUGGCGAACGGGUGAGUAACACGUGAGCAAUCUGCCCUUGACUCUGGGAUAACUGCGGGAAACUGUAGCUAAUACCGGAUACGACGCCUUGGGGCAUCCCACGGGCGUGGAAAGAAUUUCGGUCAAGGAUGAGCUCGCGGCCUAUCAGCUAGUUGGUGAGGUAAUGGCUCACCAAGGCGACGACGGGUAGCCGGCCUGAGAGGGUGACCGGCCACACUGGGACUGAGACACGGCCCAGACUCCUACGGGAGGCAGCAGUGGGGAAUAUUGCGCAAUGGGCGAAAGCCUGACGCAGCAACGCCGCGUGAGGGAUGAAGGCCUUCGGGUUGUAAACCUCUUUUAGCANGGAAGAAGCGAAAGUGACGGUACCUGCAGACAAAGCACCGGCUAACUACNUGCCAGCAGCCGCGGUAAUACGUANGGUGCAAGCNUUAUCNGGANUUNAUGGGCGUAAANAGCUCGUAAGCGGUUUGUCACAUCU